rnacentral:rRNA from 1 species
CGUCAUUAUCUUCCCAAUAAAGGAGUUUACAACCUAAUGCUUCAUCAUCCACGCAGCGUUGCGGCAUAGAGUUUCCUCCAUUGGGCUGGAUAGGACUGCUGCAUCCCGUAAG